UAGGGAAUUUUCCACAAUGGGGGCAACCCUGAUGGAGCAACGCCGCGUGCAGGAUGAAGGCUUUCGGGUCGUAAACUGCUUUUAUUUGUGAAGAUUAUGACGGUAACAAAUGAAUAAGGACCUGCUAACUACGUGCCAGCAGCCGCGGUCAUACGUGGGGUCCAAGCGUUAUCCGGAAUUACUGGGCGUAAAGAGUUGCGUAGGUGGCAGAGUAAGUUGGUAGUGAAAUCGUUCGGCUCAACCGGAUACCCAUUAUCAAAACUGCUCAGCUUGAGCAUAGAAGAGGUAGCUGGAAUUUCUAGUGUAGGAGUGAAAUCCGUAGAUAUUAGAAGGAACACCGAUGGCGUAGGCAGGCUACUGGUCUAUUGCUGACACUAAGGCACGAAAGCGUGGGGAGCGAACUGGAUUAGAUACCCCGGUAGUCC
rnacentral:rRNA from 1 species